rnacentral:rRNA from 1 species
UACAGAGGUCUCAAGCGUUGUUCGGAAUUACUGGGCGUAAAGGGUGCGCAGGCCGCGCGGGCAGUCAGAUGUGUAAUCCAGGGGCUCAACCCCUGAACUGCGCUUGAUACUUCCGCGCUCGAGCUUUGGAGAGGAGUCUGGAAUUCUCGGUGUAGCAGUGAAAUGCGUGGAUAUCGAGAAGAACACUUAGGGCGUAGGCAAGACUCUGGACAAAUGCUGACGCUCAUGCACGAAGGCUAGGGUAGCGAACGGG